UGGGGCGUGGCCAAGCGGUUAAGGCAACGGGUUUUGAUCCCGUCAUCGGAGGUUCGAUCCCUCCCGCCCCAGCCA
rnacentral:tRNA from 4 species